CGCGCGGACUCUUGACUGAAUAGUCCUAUUUAUAGAACGCUACUUUCAGGUCCUCAGCAGGUUUUUGUUCGUGAACCGUGAACGCGCACGCACAUUCAUUACGGUAUGUAGCUUAGCGAAGGGUCAUGGCGAAGAAAUACAUUCAAACUCGGGGCUUUCUGAGUUAUACAGCCUGUAGCAGGCAAUACAAACCUAGACUCACAACUGGGCAAAUAUCCCUUCUACAUGAACCAUGAAUGACACAUUUUCCAUUUUGGUUACUGGUGUGCUGUUCUAACAGCUAUGGCCCCUAAUGGAGAUGGCAUGACGUCAUAAAAGGCUGCAGUAGGCUAUAACUUGGACAUCUUUGAGUCUUUAUGACGUCACAAAUACAGGAGCAUUCAAGAGCUUGGUUGUUCAAACACACGUUCCACAAUUGGUUUGUAGCCUAGAUGGUGACUGAGUUGUUAUACUGAAUAAGUGACUAUUCAUGUGUUAGUAUAUCGCCCUUUCAUAUAUCAUUAAGAUAAACUUCAAGAAAUUAUUAACUUAAUUUUCUUAUAUUCACUCUAUCAGUAUAAAGUAUGAGGAAUAUUGGACAGUGACAAGAACAGAGAUUAGAGAGCACUGUGGCAAUGAAUUCGUUCAUAAUGACAACACGGUUGGACAGGGAGGCAGUGGAGAACAUGUUCUUAAGGGAGAGGAUUUGGAUUCAGGAGAGACUCCAUAACCUUGAGGAGGUUUUAAUGAAUGAACUUGAUCGAAGGUUCUCUAGAUUUCACAAGGAAUGGAGCAAGGACAAGAAAAGGAGGACAAAAUCUGAGCAGAGGAGUAAAGAAACUCAGACCGAGAAAGUAAUAAUCGGAGAUGAUAGUUGGGAGACUGAGAGAGCUUCUGUGAUAAACAAAGUGGACAGUAAACACAGCAUGAGAAAAGAGAGCCUUGAAGAGAGGCAGAGAGAGACUGAGGCCGAGAGGAGGAAAGUAGACUUUGAACAGAGCAUGAGAGAAGAUGGCCUUAUGGAAAGAGUUAGGGACAAUGUUAAAAUAGAGUGUCCAAAGGAAUAUGAUUCCCAAAAGCAGGACAUAAAAGUUAAACAGGUGGAUGAAAAUGUUUUAAUGCAAGACCUAGAGCAUCUGGAUAAUAACAUGGAUGGCGGAAUGAAGCCAGAGAGUGUAGGAGAAACAAAGGGAAAAGAUAGACAGACAGACGUUAUGAAAGAACUCCCAGAGGUUAAUCAUUCCACAACGUUGGACCCCACCAGUAACGAGGCUGACCUUAAAGUUUUACCACAAGAUCUUGAGCACCCCAAAAAUGACAUGGAUGGGGGCAAGGAUUUGUCAAUUCAAGUGGUACCGCUUCUGCGAAAUGGGAAUGUCAGAAUAAUAAACAGGAAAGGACAUUUUAAAAAGGAAGACAAACCAAAGAACACAAUAGACCAACGUCAAAAGGAACAAAAUGCCAAAGUGUAUGUUAACAACACAAGCACACUAUUGAAGGAAAAGACUGACAUGGAUUUGUCUACCCUACCACUACCAGUACUGAGAUGUAGUGAUGUGGGUAUAAUGAACUGGAGAUCAGAUGUUAAAACCAAACACAAGUCAAAGACAACCUGGCAAUAUCUGAAGGAAACAAAAGCAUAUGACAAGUUAAAGAAAAAAGUAGACACACAAGAAAAAUACAAGACUGAUCACCCUGACAACAAAGAUGGCAAAGAGGAGAUGCAGAGGACAAAUGUAGCACUCCUUGGUGAUAUCAGUGAGGACUUUAUCAACUCAGGCUUUUUAAGCAAGCCGGAAACUGAGCACCAGCCUGACAGGCAGUGUAAGUCUGAAACAGUUCUUGACAAACUGAGGAAUACAAUUAACCAACACAAAUCCAGACGAAAGCAGAAAAGGAUAGAAAACCAUCUGAAACUCCUUAAUGCGCCAAUGGAAAAGCAGCAAGAAAUAGACGCUUUCACAACGUUAAAGAUAUUUCAAGAUCCUAAACUGAAGGUGACAAAACCAGCCAAAUGCAAAGGUAAAUGUGGGAGAAAGGUAGAGGAAGGCUGAGGGCAACUAAGAAACUAAGAAAAACGGCAUUUAUUCAUUUACUGUGUAGCUCUGCCAGAACCAUAUGUAUCCAAAGUUGAAAGUGGGCUUAAUUAUGAACAUACAUAGUUAUCGCAGGUGUCCUUGUAAUUGUUACUACACAGCUAUGCACUUAUGUGUGUUGAGAUACAGUUAGGGUACAUCUCUGGAUAAGAUAGUAUUUGUAGAGGCAACUGCAGGGCUUCUUUUCUCCAUGUUCAAUAUUAACACUUUUUCUCUUUCAGAUUUUUCAAUAUUUCUGGCUGAAUCAACCGCGCUGUAGAGUCCCUGUUCAUGGAAGACGACUGAAAUCUGCCACGUAGUUCUGGAACUCAUGUUUUUUGUUGGUGAACAAGAUCAAAUAAACCUGGCUUGUUGUGAUUGAUGAAAGUGUACAGUCUUAUGUAUGUUAAUAACUAAUAAUUGACAAAAUGCUUAUUGUGGACUAGCUAUAAUUAGAGACCUGUAAUUAG
ensembl:lncRNA